UACGUAGGGUGCAAGCGUUGUCCGGAAUUAUUGGGCGUAAAGAGCUCGUAGGCGGUCUGUCGCGUCUGCUGUGAAAACCUAGGGCUUAACUCUGGGCGUGCAGUGGGUACGGGCAGGCUAGAGUGCGGUAGGGGAGACUGGAAUUCCUGGUGUAGCGGUGAAAUGCGCAGAUAUCAGGAGGAACACCGGUGGCGAAGGCGGGUCUCUGGGCCGACACUGACGCUGAGGAGCGAAAGCGUGGGGAGCGAACAGG
rnacentral:rRNA from 1 species